UACGGAGGGUGCGAGCGUUGUCCGGAAUCAUUGGGCGUAAAGAGCGUGUAGGCGGCCAGAUAGGUCUGCUGUGAAAACUCGAGGCUCAACCUCGAGAUGUCGGCGGAAACCAUUUGGCUAGAGUCCGGAAGAGGAGAGUGGAAUUCCCGGUGUAGCGGUGAAAUGCGCAGAUAUCGGGAAGAACACCUAUGGCGAAGGCAGCUCUCUGGGACGGUACUGACGCUGAGACGCGAAAGCGUGGGGAGCGAACAGG
rnacentral:rRNA from 1 species